rnacentral:lncRNA from 1 species
CUCUACCCAUAGCUCCUCCCAAGCCCCCUGUCUGAAACCCCGGGGAUUCUGUCCUUAGACAAGGCUUCCAGCUUCCUGGGUCUUCUGGAGAGAGUCCUGGCAGAGAAGCCAGGUCCACUGGGGCCUGUGACCCUGUUGGCUAUCCUGCACUUCCUGAAGAGGGUGGUUGCCCUCAGAGCUGAGGAGCCAGAGCUGCCGACCCAGCCCUGGGAGGAGCUUGGCAGACGCUUUGUAUCUGUGGCCAGCCUGACCUGGAGGAGCAAUCAGCCAGCGCGUGGCUGUCUAUCAGUGAGGGCAUCCAGAUGGACCAGACCACACCCACAUCCCUGCAGGGCAUCCAGAUGGACCAGACCAUACCCACAUCCCUGCAGGGCACCCAGAUGGACCAGACCACACCCACAUCCCUGCAGGGCACCCAGAUGGACCAGACCACACCCACAUCCCUGCAGGUGAAGUGAGGCGGCUCCCUGGGAGAGGCCUCGCUGAAGUCAUGGUCAUCCACACCUGGCUCACCUCAAGAGUCUUCCAGCAUACCCUGGGGGCAAGGCCACUAAUGGCU